ensembl:miRNA
AAUCUUAGGCAAAUGGGCUUUCCACUUGGCAGGUGCCAUGUUGCCUGCUCCUUACUCUACACGUGGCUGGCAAAGAGACGGGAACAUGAAGCCGCCAUUUUGAACAUGCCUAG